ACCUUUUUAUCUGCCCAACUGCUCGUUAACCUAGAACCCACAAAGGGUGUUAGUCGAUUAAGACAGCAGGACGGUGAUCAUGGAAGUUGAAAUCCGCUAAGGAGUGUGUAACAACUCACCUGCCGAAUCAACUAGCCCCGAAAAUGGAUGGCGCUGAAGCGUGCGACCUAUACCCGGCCGUCGGGGCAAGAGCCAGGCCUCGAUG
rnacentral:ncRNA from 2 species